rnacentral:rRNA from 1 species
UACGGGGGGGGCAAGCGUUGUUCGGAAUUACUGGGCGUAAAGGGCCAGUAGGCGGCCAACUAAGUCGGAUGUGAAAUCCCCAGGCUCAACUUGGGAACUGCAUCCGAUACUGGAUGGCUUGAAUUCGGGAGAGGGAUGCAGAAUUCCAGGUGUAGCGGUGAAAUGCGUAGAUAUCUGGAGGAACACCCGUAGCGAAGGCGGCACUCUGGGCCGGUACUGACGCUGAGGAGCGAAAGCGUGGGGAGCAAACAGG